rnacentral:lncRNA from 10 species
UGAAGACACAAGUCAGCCGACACUCCCGACCAAAUAAAGCCACUUCCUUCUAUAUUUCGGUGUCUGAGGUGUUUUGUCUGUGACUCGUCCUGCUACAUUUCUUGGUUCCCUGACCGGGAAGUGAGGUGGUUGACGGGCAAUCAAGGAAGCCACUUAGGUGGCUUAGGCCUGCCCUGCAGAGCAUCCCUGUGGGGGACUCCGGCCAGCUUGAGCGACGCGGAUCCUGAAAGUGCUCCCAGGUAGGCAUUUGCCCCAGUGGAACGCCUCGUCAGAGCAGUGCAUGGCAAGCCCCUGCGUGAGAUCGACGCAGUGGCUGAACACUGGGAAGGAACUGGCUUUUGGAGUCCGGACAUCUGAAACAUGGAAGACCUACUCAGUGAAGAUGAGAGUGAGAACUCCCACUAAUAAGUGAGAUUCUCAAAGGGUGGAAUAAGGAAGGAGACCACCUCUCCUAUUGUCUCAUGCCUCAGAAAAAGAAAAGAGGAAGCAGAAGCUAAAGAAAGGCAGAAAUAAGAUCAAUAGUUAGAUAGCUCCCAGCCGCUCCCCAGGCCUGGUAAUUAAAAAUCAACCCUGACUUAACCACUUGUAUUACCUACAGAUUCCAGACAUUGUAUAAGGAAGCACUGUGAAACUUUCUGUUCUGUUCUGUUCUGUCCUGAUUACCAAUGCAUGCAGCCCCAGGCACGUACCCCAUGCUUGCUCAAUCGAUCAUGACCCUUUCACGUGGACCCCCUUAGAGUUGUAAGCCCUUAAAAGGGGCAGGAAUUUCUCUAUCAGGGAGCUGGGCCCUUAAGAUGCAAGUCUGCCAAUGCUCUCAGCCGAAUAAAGCCACUUCCUUCUAUAUUUCAGUGUCUGAGGUGUUUUGUCUGUGGCUCAUCCUGCUACAGUUCCAGAAGGAGGAACACUGUCACCAGGAGACACAACAACAAUUCCAUUAAACUGGAAGCUAAGAUUGCCACCUGGACACUUCAGGGUACUCCUAAAUUUAAGUCAACAGGCUAAGAAGGGAGUUACAGUGUUAGCUGGUGUGAUUGACUUGGACUACCAAGAUGAAAUCAGUCUACAGAGGUAAGGAAGAGCAUGCAUGGAAUACAGGACAUCUGCUAGGGUAUCUCUUAGUAUUAUUGUUUCUGGAAUUGGUGGGUUCUUGGUCUCACUGACUUCAAGAAUGAAGCUGCGGACCCUCGCAGUGAGUGUUAUAGCUCUUAAGACAGCACGUCUGGAGUUGUUCGUUCCUCCUGGUGGGCUCGUGGCCUCGCUGGGAUCAGGAGUGAAGCUGCAGAUCUUCGCAGUGAGUGUUACAGCUCACAAAAGCAGCGUGGAC